UAUUUCAUCUGAGGUGUAUGAAGGAGUAAGAAGAACAUUAGGAAUUUCUUAACUUAUUCAGAAUGGAUUCAAGCUGUAGGAGACUUGCUAUAUGUUGUUUAUAUUGUUUUUUGUAUAGCUAACGAGCUUCACUUUUUUCUCUGUUGUUUGUUUGUGCAACAACUUAUUGAGAAUCGUGUUCAAAUACUCACACGGCUCACUCAGUUAGAUAUACAAGAGGAUUCUGAUUUCCCCUCUUUUGUGGAGACCUUAACAGUAUCCUCACUCACAUACCGUUUCUUUUUUAUGUUUCGACUUCCUUCUAUUAAACCAUGUUUAUAAUUGAGAUGUGGGUAUAUCGAAUCUUUGUGUGUGUGAUUGUUGGUUUCAAUAUAAUGAAGUGAGCACUUUAGAGAUGAAGUUAUAUCUCUGCUUUAUGUUUGAGAUGUUCAUUUGCAUGUUUCACUAGGGUUCUGAUAGUUAUAUACAUGCUUUAAGUGGUCUGUUAUGGCAUGUUUCAAGUAUUCAUUCUUUGACAGCUGUAUAGAGACUCUGGGAAGACUUCACUUGUCUUGACGUUAGCCAAUGUUUGCUGAAUAAGGCAAUUCUUCCUGUGACUUCAAAAAUACCUUGCUUUGCAUCGGCCUGAUUGCUCACACUACUUUCUUGCUUUUGGUAUUAAGGUAAGUCAAUGGUGUGCAAAACAUUUAAAUAUGUCUGUAAUGUCGAUGGAGGAGUCUCAAGAGGAAGGGACUUGGUCUUUCAAAUUCUCGAUGCAGGGGCGAUGCAGGUCUUUCACAUUCUCGAUGCAGGUCUUUCAUAUAAAAUUGUUUAUAUGAGUAAAAGUAAUCCAAAGAUCAUCAUCACUGAGAUUUUUAAAUACAUAAACUUUGCUUGUUAUUGCUUCAGAUGGCAUUGACUCAGGGACUAUGUUGAUUGAUUUCUUCUUGAUGGCAUUGACUCAGGGACUAUGUUGGUACUCAAUGCGGGUUAAGAGUGAUGAAGACGGAGAUGUUGCAGAUGAGUUCUUCGAAGAUCAAAACUGCAAGACUUUGCCAAGAAAGAGAAAUGACAGCUCUCUAUUUUUCUGUUUUUGUUUAAAACGAAUGAUAGUCUGCUCAAUUUGUUUAUUUGUGACAUUUACCAAACAAUUUUAGCAAGGACAGCUCUCUAUUUUUCUUUCUUUGUUUUUUUGUACCCUAUACCACAAAAAUAACUUUUUUUCAAAAAUAAGAAUCCUAAUAAGAGUCUACCAUUGGAGGACUA